CCCUCAUCACCCGCGUUCCGUCUCCCCGCCCCGUUUCUCCGGUGUUCUUGGAUGGAAGAAGAGGAGGGUUGGGGCCGGGUGGGUGGGACACCAGAAAGAUUCAGCUAGUCCGUCCCAACCGUCACAGAUUCUCCCUGCUCGCUUCCGUUCUGCAAAUGGGUUGUAUUUGGAAAUCGUGCAAGCGCUAAUAAUGUCAGAAGAAGAAGGAGAGAAGAAGAAGAAAAGAGCUUAAAUGGAAAGCAACACGCGCUCGUCUUGCCAUGGAAAUGGUAGGGCUGCAGGAGGAAUGGCGAUGCGAUUUCCAUGGUGUUUUUUCAGUUUUUCGGGGUCAGGGCUCUGCCACUGCCAGAAGUAGCACGUCCCAAGUACUUUUCAAUGUGGAUGGGUUACAUAAACAACUAUAAGAAUAGUAAAUUACUAAA